rnacentral:rRNA from 1 species
GGUACAUCGGUGACAGGUGGUGCAUGGUUGUCGUCAGCUCGUGUCGUGAGAUGUUCGGGUUAAGUCCCGCAACGAGCCGCAACCCCUAUUGUUAGUUGCCAUCAUUCAGUUGGGCACUCUAGCGAGACUGCCGGUAAUAACCGGAGGAAGUGGGAUGACGUCAAGUCCUCAUGGCCCUUAUGGUAGGGCUUCACACGUCAUACAAUGGUCGGUACAGAGGGUUGCCAAGCCGCGAGGCGGAGCCAAUCCCACAAAGCCGAUCGUAGUCCGGAUUGUUCUCUGCAACUCGAGAGCAUGAAGUCGGAAUCGCUAGUAAUCGCAGGUCAGCAUACUGCGGUGAAUACGUUCCCGGGUCUU